rnacentral:tRNA from 2 species
GGACGGGUGCAGGAGUGGCUUAACUGGCACGCCUGGAAAGCGUGUGUGCGUGAAAGCGUACCGAGGGUUCGAAUCCCUCCCCUUCCG